CCUACGGGGGGCAGCAGUCGAGAAUUAUUCACAAUGGGGGAAACCCUGAUGGUGCGACGCCGCGUGGGGGAAUGAAGGUCUUCGGAUUGUAAACCCCUGUCAUGUGGGAGCAAAUUAAAAAGAUAGUACCACAUGAGGAACAGCCGGCUAACUCUGUGCCAGCAGCCGCGGUAAUACAGAGGUCUCAAGCGUUGUUCGGAAUCACUGGGCGUAAAGCGUGCGUAGGCUGUUUCGUAAGUCGUGUGUGAAAGGCGCGGGCUCAACCCGCGGACUGCACAUGAUACUGCGAGACUGGAGUAAUGGAGAGGGAAGCGGAAUUCUCGGUGUAGCAGUGAAAUGCGUAGAUAUCGAGAGGAACACUCGUGGCGAAGGCGGGUUCCUGGACAUUAACUGACGCUGAGGCACGAAGGCCAGGGGAGCGAAAGGGAUUAGAUACCCGUGUAGUC
rnacentral:rRNA from 1 species